rnacentral:miRNA from 1 species
CGAUGGAGUCUGGAGACAAAA